AGAACGAACGCUGGCGGCAUGCCUAAUACAUGCAAGUCGAACGAACACUUCGGUGUUAGUGGCGCACGGGUGCGUAACGCGUGGGAAUCUGCCCUUGGGUUCGGAAUAACAGUUGGAAACGACUGCUAAUACCGGAUGAUAUCGAAAGAUCAAAGAUUUAUCGCCCAGGGAUGAGCCCGCGUAGGAUUAGCUAGUUGGUGAGGUAAAGGCUCACCAAGGCGACGAUCCUUAGCUGGUCUGAGAGGAUGAUCAGCCACACUGGGACUGAGACACGGCCCAGACUCCUACGGGAGGCAGCAGUAGGGAAUAUUGGACAAUGGGCGCAAAGCCUGAUCCAGCAAUGCCGCGUGAGUGAUGAAGGCCUUAGGGUGUAAAGCUCUUUUACCCGAGAUGAUAAUGACAGUAAUCGGAGAAUAAAGACCCCGGCUAAACUCCGUGCCAAGCAGCCGC
rnacentral:rRNA from 1 species